rfam:Astyanax mexicanus Tnplaced_Scaffold2657, whole genome shotgun sequence.
AUUGGUGCUCUAACAGCGGCACUGACCUUUCCAUAGUAAUUAGUAAGUGCUAUUUGUUGGGGUAGUUUAA